GGAGAGAUGGCUGAGUGGUCGAUAGCAGCAGUUUACUAAACUGCAGUCUCCGCAAGGGGACCCAGGGUUCGAAUCCCUGUCUCUCCGCAA
rnacentral:tRNA from 1 species